CCCAGGGCACGCCCCACGGGAGGGCCAAAGCGGUCAGGCACAAAUGCCAGCCCUUGCCUGGCCACCGCAGCCACUGGCGGGACACUGCAGGCGGUGAGACGGCCUUCGGCAGCCACCACUAACUGUACAAAGCCCAAAAAUCUUGGGAAUAUUUUCAGCCCAUUGGCACUUAUCAAAUAUCACACUGGAAACCCCAGAAAUUUGUGUGGGAUCCUUUCCAGGACGAGAGGAUUUCACAAAUUUGGCCUUGCGCAGGGCGAGUUUCUUGGAAUUUCAGCCUCCGAGUGGGCGUGGCCUCCUUGUUCUGGUUCGCCCCACCUUCCUGCAAGCGGCCCCUGUCACUCCCCGGGCCCACCUGCCGCAUGUCCGGGUCACCCUGGAGACAGACUCUCCGGGCCACACGAUGUCUGCGUUCCUCCAGCUCUUUGGUUUCCCCUUCAUGGUUUUGGGAGUUCCGUGGCACUCAGCAGCUGGUGGCUCUGGCAGUCUGAGAAAUACAAAGUUCGGGGCCUCUGUUGAGGCUUUUCUGAAGCUCCAUUUCAUUUGGGCUAGAGGUGAACACUUCCUCCGGAGACCCCGGCAGGCGGGACUGAAGCAAAGUUCAAGGAACAGUCGCUUCCAUCAUGGCUGGGUGUUGUUCGUCUGGCUGGGACGCAGCCUGACAGCAGGCUGACAGGCGACAGGCGGCCCAGGAGCGGUGGCAGGGCCGGGCACUGGAGGAGUGGCUGGAGGCAAGACGCUGUGCCCAGCUUCCCAGCACCGGCUCUCUGUCUUAACAACAGUUUAACAACAGCCGUAAUCGUUAACUCCCUGAACGCUUUCCUUGAAAGUUCCAUGUUACCCGACACUUGGACAUAAUUAAAACAGAACAACCGUUUGCAGUUAACUUUACCUUUAUGACCUCACAGAUUUUUACAAGGGUGUCCCAGAACGCCUUCUCUUCAAAGGAAAGCCAAGGGGUAUGCCAAGAGCCUCAAGAAAGCGCACAGAGCGGGACCCUGAAUCUCUGCAUACUCAUAAAUGAAAAGAUGAAAGAAAAAAACACGCAGUUUUUUUAUGGUUAUAAAAAUAACACAUGGUCACAGAGGACAAUGGGGAAGACACAGAAAAGUAUAAAAAAUCAAACAGAAGCCACCCACAAGCCCACCCCUAGAGACCACUGUCAAUGUUCUGUGGUAUAUAUAUCCUUCCUGAGUAUGAAAAUACCUCUUCACAUCUGCAUCUUAAAAAUAAAGGUAGAAACGGGCUUGGACGCUACGAAUCAUACUUUUAAAAAUGGGGCUCUACAAUGUGUCCUAUUUCAGGUAAAUUUGAUAUAGGGAUCAGUAAAAAGAAUCAAGUUAAUUUAUCCACAA